rnacentral:lncRNA from 1 species
UCAGGAGUUCUAGACCAGCCUGGCCAACAUGUCAGGUUUUCCUUGUUCCCGCAUGUUCAGCCAAUCGUGUUUAAGGAGAAACUAACAAUGAAAACGGACUCGUUGAUGGAGGAAAAGUUGGAAUGCAGCCUCUGGUGCUGUUUGAGCGAUCCCUCUAUCCCGGGUCGCUGCUGUGUUCUGGAAAGGCGCAUUGUACCCUGGAUGCAGCAGGAAUCCUAUUCAUCUUCUUCAC